rnacentral:lncRNA from 1 species
GUGCUGUCUUGACCACCCAGGACAUCUGCAGCUCCCCAGGUGAGGGGGAGCGUGGGGAUGGGUGGCAGAGGGGAGGUGUGUGUGGAUGUGGUGAUUGAUAUGGGAAGGCAGAAGGGGUUUGUUCUCCGCCUGUUAAUCCCUUGGCAGGAGACUUUUCACCAUUAGGGAUACAGGUCACUUUGCAUCUCUGCUGUCACUAACGCUGCCCAGGGAAUCCCUGCGCCGUCUCUUCCAGGUGACCUCCCGGCUCCAGCCCUCUUCCUUAACACCUCCAGAGCUCAAGAGGGGGAAUUGGUUUCACUUCGCUGCACCAUUGAUGGCCCUUCCGUGCCUUCCCGAAUUGUAUUCUGCAAGGACAGGAUGGAGGCACGCAGCAUGAAAUGGCAACCAUGGCAGCUGAGCUACACCAUUAUUUUAGACGUCACCGAGAAGAGCGAGGGGACAUACACGUGUGGGUACCAGGUCAACGAUGGCAGGAACCGAGUGAGGAGCUCUGCCCUCAGUGCUGCCCGCCUCCUGGAUGUCCCCGGCAGUGUGACCAGCUCCCCGGCAAGGCCAUCACCCCCAGCUCCCCAUGCCCGGCUCCCGCACGCCCUCCCCACAGGCACGGCGCUGGCAGUGGCGGCCGUCGGCCUCGUCCUCCUGGCUGCAGGCAGCUGGUUUGCCAUCAGGAAAGGUGAGG